rnacentral:misc_RNA from 1 species
GACAGAGGUGGCAAGCGUUGUUCGGAUUCAUUGGGUGUAAAGGGCAGGUAGGUUGUUAUACAAGUCCGGUGUGAAAUCCCACGGCUCAACCGUGGAACUGCAUUGGAAACUGUAUGACUUGAGUAUCGGAGAGGUGUGGGGAAUUCUCGGUGUAAGGGUGAAAUCUGUAGAUAUCGAGAGGAACACCAGUGGCGAAGGCGCCACACUGGCCGAUUACUGACACUGAGCUGCGAAAGCAAGGGGAGCAAACAGG